rnacentral:tRNA from 1 species
GGGCGGAUGGCGAAAUGGUAUACGCUCGACACUUAAAAUGUCGCACCGGAAACGGUAUGAGGGUUCGAGUCCCUCUCCGCCCA